AUGACGUCAAGUCCGCAUGGCCCUUAUGGGCUGGGCCACACACGUGCUACAAUGUCAAUGACAAUGGGAAGCAGGGCUGUAAGGCGGAGCGAAUCCAGAAGGAUUUGCCUUAGUUCGGAUUGUUCUCUGCAACUCGGGAACAUGAAGUUGAAAUCGCUAGUAAUUGCGGAUCAGCAUGCCGCGGUGAAUAUGUACCCGGGCCCUGUACACACCGCCCGUCACACCCUGGGAAUUGGUUUCGCCCGAAGCAUCAGACCAAUGAUCACCCAUGACUUCUGUGUACCACUAGUGCCCCAAAGGCCUUUGGUGGUCUUAUUGGCGCAUACCACGGUGGGGUCUUCGACUGGGGUGAAGUCGUAA
rnacentral:rRNA from 1 species